CCCCAGCAAUGUCUCCACCACUGCUGCUGCUACCCUUGCUGCUGCUGCUGCCUCUGCUGAAUGUGGAGCCUGCUGGGGCCACACUGAUCCGGAUCCCUCUUCGUCAAGUCCACCCUGGACGCAGGACCCUGAACCUACUGAGGGGAUGGGGAAAACCAGCAGAGCUCCCCAAGUUGGGGGCCCCAUCCCCUGGGGACAAGCCUGCCUCGGUACCUCUCUCCAAAUUCCUGGAUGCCCAGUAUUUUGGGGAAAUUGGGCUGGGAACGCCUCCACAAAACUUCACUGUUGCCUUUGACACUGGCUCCUCCAAUCUCUGGGUCCCGUCCAGGAGAUGCCACUUCUUCAGUGUGCCCUGCUUGUGAAGGUGGGCUCACGGCUGACUCUCUGUGCCCAGGGCUGUGCUGCCAUCCUGGAUACAGGCACACCUGUCAUCGUAGGACCCACUGAGGAGAUCCGGGCCCUGCAUGCAGCCAUUGGGGGAAUCCCCUUGCUGGCUGGGGAGGUGAGGUCCCAGUCUCUGGUGGGUGUGUCCUGGGGAAGAUGAUGGCAAUUCCAUGGCGAACACUGCGGCCUGAGGAUGGGAAGCAGGUAGCUAGAGCGUAUCCAGGACAGAGGGGACUGGGCUUCUUAAGUGACAUGCCAGAGAGUGGUGGGAGGAAGCAAAGAUACUUCCCAAGUGUCUAUGCUAAGUGGCUCA
rnacentral:lncRNA from 1 species